rnacentral:tRNA from 1 species
UGGGGAUUCGCCAAGUCGGUAAGGCAACGGACUUUGACUCCGUCAUUCGUAGGUUCGAGUCCUACAUCCCCAGCCA